rnacentral:miRNA from 1 species
UUCCUUCCGGUCAAUGAGAUUGUUAUACCUCAUUGACUGGAAGGAAUCCCUUCCAAUCAAUGAGGUAUAACUUCUCGUUGACCAGAAGGAU